rnacentral:rRNA from 1 species
UGGGGAAUUGUUCGCAAUGGGCGCAAGCCUGACGACGCAACGCCGCGUGGAGGAUGAAGAUCUUCGGGUCGUAAACUCCUGUCGAGCGGGACGAACACUUUUCGGGUGAACAGCCCGGGGAGCUGACGGUACCGCUAACGGAAGCCCCGGCUAACUCCGUACCAGCAGCCGCGGUAAUACGGGGGGGGCAAGCGUUGUUCGGAAUUACUGGGCGUAAAGGGCCCGUAGGCGGCCGACUAAGUCGGAUGUGAAAUCCCCAGGCUCAACGUGGGAACUGCAUCCGAUACUGGACGGCUUGAAUCCGGGAGAGGGAUGCAGAAUUCCAGGUGUAGCGGUGAAAUGCGUAGAUAUCUGGAGGAAUACCGGUGGCGAAGGCGGCAUCCUGGACCGGCAUUGACGCUGAACGGCGAAAGCUAGGGGAGCAAA